ACGGGAGGCAGCAGUGGGGAAUAUUGGACAAUGGGGGAAACCCUGAUCCAGCGACGCCGCGUGAGUGAAGAAGUAUUUCGGUAUGUAAAGCUCUAUCAGCAGGGAAGAUAAUGACGGUACCUGACUAAGAAGCCCCGGCUAACUACGUGCCAGCAGCCGCGGUAAUACGUAGGGGGCAAGCGUUAUCCGGAUUUACUGGGUGUAAAGGGUGCGUAGGUGGUAUGGCAAGUCAGAAGUGAAAACCCGGGGCUCAACCCCGUGGAUUGCUUUUGAAACUGUCAAACUAGAGUACCGGGGAGGUAAGCGGAAUUCCUAGUGUAGCGGUGAAAUGCGUAGAUAUUAGGAGGAACACCAGUGGCGAAGGCGGCUUACUGGACGGUAACUGACACUGAGGCACGAAAGCGUGGGGAGCAAACAGGAUUAGAUACCCUGGUA
rnacentral:rRNA from 1 species